AACCUAGCACACCUGCGGUGUGUACCUGCGGAGGGAUCAUUACCUAGAGUUGUAGGCUUUGCCUGCUAUCUCUUACCCAUGUCUUUUGAGUACCUUACGUUUCCUCGGUGGGCUCGCCCACCGAUUGGACAAAUUUAAACCCUUUGCAGUUGAAAUCAGCGUCUGAAAGAACUUAAUAGUUACAACUUUCAACAAUGGAUCU
rnacentral:misc_RNA from 1 species